rnacentral:tRNA from 1 species
AAGAAAUUAGUUAAUAUAAUAACAUUAGAUUGUCAAACUAAAAUUAUCAAAAGAUAUUUCUUU